GUAACUUCAGCGAGAAGGAUAUCUGAACUGGCUACUCUUCAGUGAGGAAGGACCUGUAGUCAGAUGGGUGUGGCCUGUGCAUGACACAUCCGGCCUGUGGGCCACCAGUUUGACACCCCACCUUAUAAUGUCAAAAGGCCAGCUAUUGCAAGACCACCUGUCUCCAAUUGUUUCUGCUCAGUUCAGAAACCAGAUCUGAUAGAAAUGUAAUAGCCUUAUGGAGCUCCCAUUUAGUAUGAAGGUUGGCGUUUGGAGGAAGAGGACUUUCAAUAUUUUCUCCUGCUGUGAUAUUAAUCUCAACUGGAGACUUGUUCCACUAUCUGAAUUUAGGGAAAAACAACCUCCCUCUGAAGCAAAUGAAAGUUCCACUUGAUAUGAAUAAGAUAAGCAAGAGAUUCAAGUGAGGCUAUGACCACGGCAGAAGGCAAAGAACUGAAUUCUCUUAUUAACAGGCUCCCAACAGAAAUAACUAUUUAUGAAAUAAAAAUUUUCCAGUCAAGGAUUAACUCUAGAUAAUUAACACAAAAUAAGACUUAAUAUAAACUUUGAUUAAUGUGUAGUUACAUACAAAAUCAUAUUAGUAGAUAUUCUCUCUCUCUCUCUCUCUCUCUCUCUCUCUCUCUCUCUCUCUCUCUCUCUCUCUCUUCUAUCCCCUGUAUAUGUUCAGCAAUACCUUGAAAUCUCUAAAGCAUAUUGGAUUUAAGGAUGGGGAGUGAAAGAGGAUCCAGUUGAAGACCAUCAUUGGUUGCAAUAUGUGUAGUUUGUCCUGCAAGAGCAAUGAAACAACAAAUCCCAUGUAUAAGAGGGCCUGGUGCUGUUGACAGGAAUAACAUCAAGAUGAAAAUGAGGCUAAUUUUUCAUCUCUGCCUUUGCUUCUUCAUUCUUUGUUCACCAACAUCAGAAGAAAUAUCUUAACAGAGUUCACUCUGGAAAUCAUAUGUGUACUGUUAAUGACAUUUACAGA